GACGAACGCUGGCGGCGUGCUUAACACAUGCAAGUCGAACGGAAAGGCCUCUUUCGGGGGGUACUCGAGUGGCGAACGGGUGAGUAACACGUGAGUAACCUGCCCUUGACUUUGGGAUGACUUCAGGAAACUGGGGCUAAUACCGGAUAGGAGCUCCUGCUGCAUGGUGGGGGUUGGAAAGUUUCGGCGGUUGGGGAUGGACUCGCGGCUUAUCAGCUUGUUGGUGGGGUAGUGGCUUACCAAGGCUUUGACGGGUAGCCGGCCUGAGAGGGUGACCGGCCACAUUGGGACUGAGAUACGGCCCAGACUCCUACGGGAGGCAGCAGUGGGGAAUAUUGCACAAUGGGUGGAAGCCUGAUGCAGCAACGCCGUGUGCGGGAUGACGGCCUUCGGGUUGUAAACCGCUUUCGCUCAUGACGAAGCUUUGUGUGACGGUAGUGGGUAAAGAAGCACCGGCUAACUACGUG
rnacentral:rRNA from 1 species